UGGGGAAUAUUGGACAAUGGGCGCAAGCCUGAUCCAGCCAUGCCGCGUGGGUGAUGAAGGCCCUAGGGUUGUAAAGCCCUUUCGGCGGGGAAGAUAAUGACGGUACCCGCAGAAGAAGCCCCGGCUAACUUCGUGCCAGCAGCCGCGGUAAUACGAAGGGGGCUAGCGUUGCUCGGAAUCACUGGGCGUAAAGCGCACGUAGGCGGAUUGCUAAGUCAGGGGUGAAAUCCUGGAGCUCAACUCCAGAACUGCCUUUGAUACUGGCGAUCUCGAGUCCGGGAGAGGUGAGUGGAACUGCGAGUGUAGAGGUGAAAUUCGUAGAUAUUCGCAAGAACACCAGUGGCGAAGGCGGCUCACUGGCCCGGUACUGACGCUGAGGUGCGAAAGCGUGGGGAGCAAACAGG
rnacentral:rRNA from 1 species